rnacentral:lncRNA from 1 species
CCAGGCAGGCGCUCCUCUCAGGUGUGUGCUGGCAGCAAAACCCAAGAUCUCUGCUCUCCAGAGGCUGCUCUAGAAAACCUCUGGUCUGGAGGCCCAUGGCCAGAGUGAAGAUGGGGAGGCCACUCCUAUAGUCUGACCUGAGACCCUCCUCCUUGCCCUUGCCCUCCUUUUGAGCAGUGAAUAAAGUCUCAAUUGCAGAUUUCCUUGUUCUCAAACUUUCCUUAUCACAGAAUCACAGAACCACAGACAGUGGAGGCCCCCCCGACCUGGAGUCCUCUGCUCCAUGCUCCUGUGGGGCAGCCCCUCCUCGAAGCAGAGUUCUCAGGAAAGAUGAGCUAGGACUUCCUCCAAGUCCAAGCAGGAGCUGGCAAAGAUAAAUAACACUUUCACAGCCCCGCCUGCAGCUAAAGGUGGCUAGGUGACACAUUUCUGGCCGAAAAAUGAUACACAUGGAAGCGUCUAGGAGCGGAAACGCAGUUCUGGGAAAGCUUUUGCUUUCCUGAUGUAAAGGAAGGAUGUGAUUGUGGCCGUCCCUUCUCCUUUGUUUCCUGAACUAUGGUACCCACCAGUCAAUGAUGCGAUUACAGCCAUGGGUCACAAAUCAACAUGCUAAGGAUGCUAGAGCAGAAAGACAGAAACAGCCUGGGUCGCUAGGGGCACCACUGAGCAGCUGGACCGAUGCCAGCAGCCACCGACUCUGGACGACUCAUUACAGACACAGAGCAGAUUACCUCUCGCCGUCGGCGAGGGCCUCUCUGGAACACAGACGCCCUGGGAGCAGCCUGGGCCGUGCUACCCACUGUCCCGCUUACGGCACCUCUCCUGCCAGCGGGGCCUUAGAUGGACAGCAGAGCACCAGACUCCAGCCAGCACCAGAAGUACUGAGGCUGCUCUGUUUACAGCACUUUUCCCUCUCAAAAAUUAAAGCGGUAUGGGCACAGGGUGAGCCUGCUUCUCUGUUCUUCCCCAAACCCCUCUGACCAGGGCUCCUCGUCUUCCUUAAACAUCUACUGAGCCCUUGGGUCGGAACUGAGUGUGAUGGUGGGGGCGUUUUGGUACAUGGUAUAGGUCACUCACUUAAAGAGGAG